AGAGUUUGAUUCUGGCUCAGGACGAACGCUGGCGGCGCGCCUAACACAUGCAAGUCGAACGGAGUCAAGAGGAGCUUGCUUUUCUUGACUUAGUGGCGAACGGGUGAGUAACGCGUGAGUAACCUGCCCUGGAGUGGGGGACAACAGUUGGAAACGACUGCUAAUACCGCAUAAGCCCACGGAUCCGCAUGGAUCUGCGGGAAAAGGAUUUAUUCGCUUCAGGAUGGACUCGCGUCCAAUUAGCUAGUUGGUGAGGUAACGGCCCACCAAGGCGACGAUUGGUAGCCGGACUGAGAGGUUGAACGGCCACAUUGGGACUGAGACACGGCCCAG
rnacentral:rRNA from 1 species